rnacentral:rRNA from 1 species
AACGCCAAGAACCUUACCAAGGCUUGACAUGAACCGGAAAGGCGUAGAAAUACGUCCCCCACUUGUGGUCGGUUUACAGGUGGUGCAUGGUUGUCGUCAGCUCGUGUCGUGAGAUGUUGGGUUAAGUCCCGCAACGAGCGCAACCCUCGUUCUAUGUUGCCAGCACGUGAUGGUGGGGACUCAUAGGAGACUGCCGGGGUCAACUCGGAGGAAGGUGGGGAUGACGUCAAAUCAUCAUGCCCCUUAUGUCUUGGGCUUCACGCAUGCUACAGUGGCCGGUACAAAGGGUUGCGAUACUGUGAGGUGGAGCUAAUCCCAAAAAGCCGGUCUCAGUUCGGAUUGGGGUCUGCAACUCGACCCCAUGAAGUCGGAGUCGCUAGUAAUCGCAGAUCAGCAACGCUGCGGUGAAUACGUUCCCGGGCUUGUACACACCG